AUAUUACUCUCUCCGUUCGGAAUUACUUGUCUCGGAAAUAGAUGUAUUUAGAACUAAAUAGUUCUAGUUACAUCUAUUUCCGAAACAAAUAAUUCCGAACGGAGGGAGUACCAC
rfam:Triticum aestivum genome assembly, contig: Triticum_aestivum_CS42_TGACv1_scaffold_223431_3B